CAGGAAAAAACUCCCAAGAACUUGGUGAUUGUUUUGAAACAGCAAAAUCAAAGGUAUUCUUAAGGAAAGAUAAUGUUCAGGAAGUGCUGAAGAGCAAAAUUCUCUCAUUGUUCAGAUGAAAGGCUAUCAGUAGUCCGCUACACAAAUCUAUUCAAAAGGAUAUCUUAUCAAGUUCAAUGGGAUUUACCAUCUAUGAGACAAGAGGAUCAGGUCUCCUAAUCUGAUUUCUAAUCAGUGAGGAAGAGCUGGUUGAGGAGGUGAAUGUACCAUAUUGGGAUGCAAUAUAAAUUGGAUCAUUGCUGUAAAUGUACACUUUGGAUUAUGAUGUA